GACGAACGCUGGCGGCGUGCCUAAUACAUGCAAGUAGAACGCAGUUGCGCACGGUUGAGUAACGCUUAGGUAACUGCCUCAUAGCGCGGGAUAACUUUUGGUAACGUUACCUAAUUCCGCAUUCUUUGCGCUUGACCUGCGUUUUAUUAGCUAGUUGGUGAGGUAAAGGCUCACCAAGGCGACGAAACAUAGCCGACAUGAGAGGGUGAUCGGCCCAAAUGGGACUGAGACACGGCCCAGACUCCUACGGGAGGCAGCGGUAGGGAAUCUUCGGCAAUGGACGGAAGUCUGACCGAACAACGCCGCGUGAGUGAAGAAGGUUUUCGGGUCGUAAAGCUCUGUUGUUAGAGAAGCGGUAACUAACAAGAAAGGGACGGCUAACUACGUGCCAGCAGCCGCGGUAAUAG
rnacentral:rRNA from 1 species